GCUAAUACCGAAUAAUAACAAUCAAUAUCGCAUGAGAAGAUGUAGAAAGUCGCUCUUUGUGGCGACGCUUUUGGAUGAGGGUGCGACGUAUCAGAUAGUUGGUGAGGUAAUGGCUCACCAAGUCAAUGACGCGUAGCUGUACUGAGAGGUAGAACAGCCACAAUGGGACUGAGACACGGCCCAUACUCCUACGGGAGGCAGCAGCG
rnacentral:rRNA from 1 species